rnacentral:rRNA from 1 species
CCUACGUGAGGCAGCAGUGAGGAAUAUUGGUCAAUGGGCGUAAGCCUGAACCAGCCAAGUCGCGUGAGGGAUGAAGGUUCUAUGGAUCGUAAACCUAUUUUAUAAGGGAAUAAAGUGCGGGACGUGUCCCGUUUUGUAUGUACCUUAUGAAUAAGGAUCGGCUAACUCUGUGCCAGCAGCCGCGGUAAUACGGAGGAUCCGGGCGUUCUCAGGAUUAAUUGGGGUUAAAGGGUGCGUAGGCGGCCUGUUAAGUAAGCUGGGAAAGGCUGUGGAGCAACCAUAGAAUUGCAGUUGAGACUGGGAGGCUUGAGUAUGUUAGAGGCAGGCGGAAUGCGUGGUGUAGCGGUGAAAUGCUUAGAUAUCACGCAGAACCCCGAUUGCGAAGGCAGCCUGCCAAGCCAUGACUGACGCUGAUGCACGAAAGCGUGGGGAUCAAACAGGAGUAGAUACCCGGGUAGUC